UGCAUAUUUUAUUCGUUUUCGUAUGCUGCGCAGAGAAACUUUUGAUUCAAAUUCGGAUAAGGUUUGGAUAUUUGUGAACGUAUAUCUCCAUGAGUUACCGUAAUAAUUUAUUGUCUUAAGAGAUGAAGUACCUCGGCAAAGUUCUAGUAAAUACAGAAACUUGAGCAGGAUUUACAGGAUUUCUCUGCCAAGAUUCCCUGGAACCGUAUUAUUCCGCAAUAAACAGUGAUAAAUUCUUUAAUAAUACGUUAUAUUUACGGCUAAUCACUUGUAAUAUUUAUGUACAAAACCCUUGAAAUCUCAGAAUUGUUCUCAGGGUUCCUCUAGAAUAGGAAGAAAAAAAAGAAAAAGAAAAAGAAAGAAAAAAAAAAAAUGUUGAAAAGCACUGAUUUAAGAUACAAGAGAAGUUAGAAAUAGAUUAUAUAUGGAGUAUGUAAGAAAUUUCAAAUAAAAUUCUUGAACGUA